UACGUAGGGGGCGAGCGUUGUCCGGAUUUAUUGGGCGUAAAGAGCGUGUAGGCGGCCAGGUAGGUCCGCUGUGAAAACUCGAGGCUCAACCUCGAGAUGUCGGCGGAAACCAUCUGGCUAGAGUCCGGAAGAGGAAAGUGGAAUUCCCGGUGUAGCGGUGAAAUGCGCAGAUAUCGGGAAGAACACCCGUGGCGAAGGCGGCUUUCUGGGACGGUACUGACGCUGAGACGCGAAAGCGUGGGGAGCGAACAGG
rnacentral:rRNA from 1 species